UGAAGACAAAACAAAAGAGUACUUAAUAGGCCCAGCGAACUAUUGAGUGGAUCAAAAUAAUUUGGUAAAAAUACAAAUUCCAGAAGCUUUACUCAUUAUGACUAUAGUAUCACCAUAUUCUUACACCACUAAAGCACACACAGGUAGAAACAUCAAUGAAAGCAAGUAUCGGAAGCUCUCAAAGGUGGGUUCUCUCUACUGAUCCUUCCCAUUGCUGAAUCUUGAAAUUAUUAAUUUCGUGUGAUAACUAAUAUUUGCCUAUUUUAAUUUUGACUCGGAAUUUAAAAUAAGUAUAUGCUCCCUUAGAAUUUAAGGAAGUAUUAAAAAAUCUUUUAAAUCUUGGGAUCUUAAAUAAGAUAUAUGAGUUUUCUAGCUAAAAAAUUCUUGUCAGUUCACGAAAUUACAAAACUAGGGAGAUUUUUUAAUUUUCACUGUUUUUUUGUACAAAUUUUAACGUCCAUGUUCCUAGAAUUAUUAACUACACUUAUUAAAGGUCAUUGAAAAUCACUUUCACUGAGGGCCAACUUAUCAAAAAGACACAGAGGCAUUUUCACUUAUUUGUGCCUUUGUUAAGUUCAUCCUUGAAUCAAAUGUUGAAAUUUGUGAAUUUUCCUAAUCUAGAAGCAAUCGUACGACGGAGUAAGAAAUUAAAUCAUCCGCCAAUAUUAUCUUUCAUCUGCUUAUUGUGGCCGGAAUAACCUUUUAAAAUAUUUUCCCCAAAACUUAAGGUGUUUUUCAUGCCUUUAUUGAGGUAAAGGAAAUAUGGGUUCAAUUGUGCCAACAACGUCUACAUAGAAAUAUGUUACGGCGUAAUAGAUAUACGCAAAUAUCACCAGAAAAAAAACAAUCACUUUUGCUGCAACAAGAAGCUAGAAGAUCCGAAUCAAAAAGGCGUCGACUUAUACAACAGAAAAAUUGUACAAUGUCUUUUUCACUCCUACAUCACCUACCAACGGAGGACAUGCUUCUUCGAUUUCAACUACACAAACAAUUGCCUGCACCCCCAUCUUCGAAGUAGGAUCAACAUCACAUAGUUCUGAAGCAACAGAAAAGUAUUCAAAUGAAUCAACUGCUUCAAAUAGAGAUCUAGUGAGUGUGGAAGGUAAUCGAUCCUAACAACUGGUAUCAGAGAUUAGGGGAUUCACACGAUCACUGAAGAUGGAAGGAUCGAAGCUUGAAAUCGAGAAGUUUGAUGGAUCCGAUUUUGGUUUCUGGAAGAUGUAGAUCGAAGACUAUCUAUACCAGAAAGAUCUUCACGAACCUUUGAGUGGGGUGAAGCCGGAAUCCAUGAAAGAGGAGGAGUGGAAGCUCAAGGAUCGGCAGGCUCUAGGGCAGAUCCGAUUGAAUUUGUCAAGAAAUGUGGCGUUCAACAUCGCCAAGGAGAAGACUACGUCAGAUCUGUUAAAGGCGCUAUCAAAUAUGUACGAACUGAUCAUAUAAACGAGUUCAAUAUGAUUGUUAGUCAACUGUGUUCUGUUGAUAUUAAUUUUGAAUAUGAAAUUAAAGCAUUGAUUUUGAUGUCAUCUCUACCCGAGUCUUGGGAUACUAUUGUUGCUGCGAUUAGUAGUUCCCGUGGAUCUAAGAAGUUGAAGUUUGAUGAAAUCCGAGAUGUUGUUCUUAGCGAAAGCAAUUGCAAAUGAGAAAUUGGGAGUCAUCUGGUAAUGCUCUUAGCAUUGACCGAAGGGGAAGAGACCAAUCAACGGGUCAGAAUACACAUGACAGAUCAAAAUCGAAGAAUCGUGGAAAACCUCCAAAACCCAACGUGACAUGUUGGAAUUGCCAAGGGAUCUUUGUAAAUAGUUAUACCAUAUAGUUGGUGAUUUAGUAUCAAGAGUUAUCGAUGAAACUCUGAAACAUCAGUAGCAGCAGAUAUUGCCAAGGGGUCUUUGUAAAUACAUGGAUGUGUGAUACAAGUGGAUGUGCAUAUAUACUCCGGACAGUGUUCUUAAACGAACCAAGCUGUGUAAUAGAAUAUGACUUGCACAAAUUUUUUUUUACUGUGAAGAAAACAAAUGUAUUGAAUUGACGAGUUUUUCCUUUUUCUUAGCUCUUUUGAAGUGUGCGAUUUCUUUCUCUCCUGCUGUCUUAUUGUAAUCAGAGCCAUUUGCUUUACCAAUUGCCUGUGUUACUUUCUUUAUCUGUAAUAUAAGUUUCAAAAUUUGAAUUUUUUA